AUGAAAACGUCCUCUUUUUUCCCGCGCGGACUAAAACAUUUCCUGACCGUGCCGCCUCUGCUGCUGCUGCUGCUGGUGUCCACGGCGGCGAGGAGGCGGCGAGGAGGCGGAGUUCAUUGGUGUGUAAUAAAAGUAAGCUCUGGAGGAAAAUGUGACAGAUGUGGAGGAGGGCCCGUAUGUGCCAGCGAGGGGAAAGCGAGAGUGGGGACUGUCAGACAUGUCGACUCCGGCGCAGUGAUGGAUGGAGAGUGAGGUAAGACGGAUGACAUCGUCUGUCUGAGGCCAUGUUGUCAUAGCGGAGGAUUGCCGCUUGUCUCAACCUCUCAAUAUCAGAGAGCAAACUGAAGUUUGUUUACACUGCUCCAGUGGAGUGAUUUAGAAUGAGGGGCGAGGGGGACGUGGGUGGAGAAGGUAUGCCUCGCUGCAGGGUCGGAUCAGGUUUCCAAACAUUCCCUUUGAAAUCGAAUAGCAGCCAUCCCGGGCCUGCCGUUUUUUGUGUUUUUUUUCUAACUCAACCAGCCACAGUUCGGUUUACAAUCCUCAGAGGUAGAGACGAGUCCAAACACAAACACAAACAAGAGAGAAAAUGAAAAUAUCAAUAUCACUCAUUUGGUCUUUUACAUCCCAACAUUAGUCAUCAGCAUCCAAAUCUGGAUUCUGGCCAGUGAAACAAUGAAAAAAAGGGAAAAUAAGAAUUUGAGUGAAUUGCUGCCUCUAGUUUGACAAGGAGCCAAAAUAAAGGGAAAAAAAGUAGAGCAGCUUCUUUUGUGUUAUUAGUUCAUGUCAAGAAGAUUAUUAUCUCCCUGUGAAGGUAAGUGAAACACGUCCAUGUAGUCUUUUAAGGUUUGCAUCCUUUAUAUGUAAUGCUCAGUUUCAAAAAGGCAUCAUGGGAAAUGGCCUUUUCAAACCAAGUCCACAGCUGAUUGAUUUACGGUGUAAACAAUAAGACGUCCUGGUGAAAUGAUAAAAAAAGUGACAACAUCCCCGGAGAUGAACUCGCUGAACACUGUUCAUGACAACAUGGAGGUG
rnacentral:lncRNA from 1 species